UACGAAGGGGGCUAGCGUUGUUCGGAAUUACUGGGCGUAAAGGGCGCGUAGGCGGCGCAACAAGUCACUUGUGAAAUCUCCGGGCUUAACCCGGAGCGGCCAAGUGAUACUGUCGUGCUAGAGUGCGGAAGGGGCUACUGGAAUUCUCGGUGUAGCGGUGAAAUGCGUAGAUAUCGAGAGGAACACCUGCGGCGAAGGCGGGUAGCUGGGCCGACACUGACGCUGAGGCGCGAAAGCCAGGGGAGCGAACGGG
rnacentral:rRNA from 1 species